AGCACAAAAUUCAUUCUUCAACACAAAAAUGAAAUUUCUAUGGUGCACUAAUGGAGACUUUAAUUCUUAUCAAUUAAUAUGUGAAUUAAUUCCACAUUUUGACAAAGAAAUUAAAGAGUAAAAUUAUUAUUGUUUUGACCAAUUCAAACAAAAUAAUAUACUUUAAAAUGAAUUUCUUUUUUUAUAUUUUAUCAAUAUAAAAGAUCAACAUAUAUUUGAUUCAAGUUAAUGAACAUGAAGUCCAACUAACAAAUCAAAACUCAAAUCCAAGUUCAAAUAUUCAAUGAGUGUAUUUGCUACUUUGUACAAGUUUCUCAAAUCACACACAUUAGACUUCCAUUUCUCAUUUAAAUAAAACUUCAUUUUUGACAUAUGAAUACAUUAUUCAUAAUGUUCAAAAAAUAGUUCCAACAAUCCCGCACAUGAAUAGAAAUGAUUCUAGACACUAGACGACUCGAUAGACUUGACUUCCUAGACAAGGCUCAACAAGACUCAACUAAGGACAUUUGAGAGUACAAACGAAAAAUCCACUGCAUGGUGAGUUGGUAGCAAUUUUUCAGCCUUGAAACAAUCAUUGUUAAUAGCUAUCGGAUUUACUCGGCCAGAAGGUGGACAUGAUGUCUUGAACCUCCCGGGCUUUUGUGUAAACCUAGACAAUAGCUAUAACAUAGCUUCAUUGUCUCACAGAACUAGGUUCUCUAUUGUAUUCAUUUUUGGCCGUGAACAGUCCUGGUUAAUCAUGAGUGAACUUGGAGAAUAUAACAUUUCUUUCAUCCUCCUAUAAACGGCCCUAUUUAACACUCACAAGGUGAUUUGCCAUUAGUUUUAAUUAUAGGAGUAUCAUAUACUACUCCAUUCAUAUCUCAAAACAAUGAACACAAAUAAAUAAAAGUCAAUGUUUAUCCUCUAUUCUUUACAUGUAGCACUGUUUAAUCAUCAUAGGAACUGCGUAUAGACCGAAAUCGUAUAGUGCUUUGGACAGAUUUAGUUUGACUCAGUUGUCUCCUUGAACCUAUUUCUUGGGAUAUUCAGUCAGUUAGGUAGAGUUACCGCCAAACCUCAUCUUAAUUCAGAGGCUAUCCAUUCCUUUAGAUGAUAUAACAAUUUGAUCACACCUUUAAUAAAAAGAUCAUAGGUUGUCAUCAUAGUAAACAUAAUCUCUUGAGAUUAGUCGAUAUCAAUUGUCUAAUGAUUUUUGUCAUAUUUUUUUUUAAGAUACAAUUAACCAUUAUACACAAAACUCAGUGUAUGGCAAAUUUUUUUUUUUUGAAAAGAUCAUAUUGUUAUAACGAUCACUAAAGUUCAUUUGGCCUCUUGCCAACAACUUUAUAUGGUAAGCAAAGCUUCCUGAACAUUUCUUGAGAUAACUCAAAAACAUGCAUAUUUACAUUUAACAUCUCUUAAGAGUUUAGAAAAUUAAUCUACAACUCCUUUAUGAAUAAAAAAUAAUUUCGAAAAUUAUUACAAUUUUUCUUUAAAAUGUGUUUCAUUCUUAGAAAUUCACAUUUUUUCAUACAACUAUUUCCGAAGUUCUCUCAAGGUGAUUUAUAAAUCCAACUUAUAUAUCAUUUGAAUUUUUCCAAAACAUAUUUUUUUUUUUUAGCAAAUAUACACUACAGAAAAUGUGGGUAUUAAUAGCAUUAGAUGAUAGCGUUUAUGACAAUUAUGCUAUCGUAUAUGAACAUUUAUUUUUGUUAUAGCGUUUAUCGAUUUAAAAUGCUAUAUUUACUAUGGCAGAAAAAUAAAAAGAAUUUAGCUGCCUUAAUUUACUAAGUGCAUGCGAAAUUUCACAUUUGGCACCAAAAGAUACGUUUGGUAAAAUUGUUUUUUUAGCCUAAGUCAUUUCCUUUUUACAAAGAAAAAAAAAGCUUAUCGUCGUUGUAGACUCUUCUUCUAAGUCUUUCCCAAACUCCUUCAUCCAUGGUGAAUUGGCUCCUUCGUCUUCCUCUGUGGCUCUUCACCACCAUCACAUUUGUAACGGCCCGGUUUCUGGCCCAAAAAAAUUUCAUAAAAGAAUGGGCUUCUCUACGGCCCAUUUGACAAAAACCUAGGGUUCCCUUCACCCUUCCCUAUAAAAAGAGGCGCAGCCUCUCACUUUUCUCUCAUUUCUAAAACUUGAGCGAAGCUCUGCAGAGAUUUAGAGAGACUAGGAAACCCUAGCCGUCAAGCUUCUCUUUUCCUUUUCUCUCUUCUUCUCUCACGCCUCUCUUUCUCUCUCUCUCUCUCUCUGUGAUCUCUCUCUUCUCUCCCUCCUCCUCGCCGGUGCCGUGUGGUGGUGGUGGUGGUGGUUGCAGCUGAUUGGUGGUGGUUGUCAGAUCUCGCCGCUCUCUUGGUUCCUUGUUCCAGAUCUGUUCAGAUCUCCUCUCCCUUGUCUCUUGUUUCCAGAUCUAGAUCCAGAUCUAGGCUAAGGUGGAGUGUCUUGAACCCAUCUUGUUCUCAUGUACUGUAUACUCCUUUAUGUUGGAGUUAGGGUUGAUUAGACCCUGUUUGAAAGCUAGGAUGAUAGAUCCUGAUUAUUGCUAGGAUGUUAGAUGAUCGGAACACGAUGCAUAAGAACCCUCAUAUUGUUAAAUGGGACUUAGUAAACUGAAAUGAAGUUGUGGUAGCGAUGAUUGAUUGGUAAUUUAUGCUUGUAUGUUUGGAUGUGUAGUCCCAUGAGUGGUUUGUGAUUAAAGCUAGGAUGCUAGAGAGAAAUGAAUGCUAAGCUGAUAGAUGAGUAAUGUUUGUUAAUGUUAUUGAAGUAGAACUUGAGUGCAAUGUGUAUUGUGUGUGGCACCGAUAACGGGUGGCGUCUAGUGAAUGAGUCCAAGUACAAGUCUAAAUGAAAAGGAAAGUGAAUGAGAAUGGGAAGGGAUAAGUGAAAAUGAUAAGGAUGUGAAAGGAUAAGCGAAAGUAUGAAAGAAUAAGGUUACGGUUAAGCAUGGAUGGGAAAGCAUAUAGAGGGUCUAAGGAAAGUAUGUGGGGUAGUAGUCCACGCUAGGUAUCCAUAGGAGAUGUGGCCAAUCCACAAGAAUAUGGAAGCACCCAUAGGAGAUGUGGUCAAUCCACAAGAAUAUGGGGUAGAAGCCUAGUUGGGGCUACCCACUGUUGAAAAGGACGAAAAGAUGAAAAGGAUGUGCAUUGUAGGGUUUUUAGCUCAUGGUCGGGUAACAGGGAGUUAAAGGUGUCAUAGGAUCGAGUCGGACUGGUAUGAUGAGUCGGUUAAGUCUAGGGUUUAACGUGUGUGGCAAUGAGUGAGUUCAUUGUAAUGAUUGAUCACUAGGUUGCUAGAAAUGUAUGGAAUUGAAUGUGGACAAUUAGUGAUGACAGUAUGAAAUGAUAAAAAUACAUUACCUGAUUGUAGUGGCUAGUCAGUCCUAGUUCCCGCAUAGAGUAGUGUAGAGUGUCAUGCGGGCAGGCUGGUCUAGAGCCACUUCACUGAGUAACUUGUUGCUCACUCCUCCAUUUUCAUUUCCCUGUGCGCAGGACUGUAAGUAGAAGUAUAUGGAUGUGGGUGUGACGGUAUUUGAAAGAAGGUUAUGCGCCCGUCGGCUCUCGGGACCAGUAACGGGACACGUAGGGUUGUCUAAAUGAGUAGACACGUGUCCAUAACGCCCUUUCGAUAACCCCGGUCGGACACCGGGGGAUCGGGCCAUUACAACAUUGGCCGUCUCUAGCUUCUUUUUCUUAUUCCCUUCGUUUUAUCAAUUCCAAUUGCACAGAAACUAAAACUGUAGAGGUCAUUGACCUAGAUCUGGGACACAACAAUCUAUAAGAAACAGAAGAUGAAUCCUCAGACAAGUAUGGCUCUGCGUGAAGACCUCAUUCAAAGAACUGUCUAUGUGUCUGAUAUUGACUAACAGGUCACUGAGGAGCAGCUUGAUUGUUUGUUCAUCGGCUUUGGGCAGGCUGAAGAUGAGCAUGAGAUGCGUGCGAGAACUAUCUACUACACUAACAUCGACACUAAGGUGAUUCUCUAAGAUUUUUUUUCCUUCACAGCUCUAUAAUGAAACAUAAAGUAGCUAACUUUGAUGAGUUUACAGGUCACUCAAACGGACAUAAAACUCUUAUUUGAGGCUGCGUGUGGAGAGGUAUACCGUCUGAGGCUUCUGGGAGAUUAUCAUCAUCCCCAACUAGAAUCGGUUUCGAUGAGUUUGUCAUGGCUGAAAGUGCAGUAACUACUCUCAAUUGCAGUGGCGUGCUUCUUGGCUCUUUACAGAUAAGGCCC